AUGGUCAUUAUCUUGGUUGUCUCCGCUCCCAAGAGGCAUUUUCACACAAACCCUGUGUGGGGAGGUAACGGUUGGAAGUGCACCCCAAAGAGCAAGAUCUCUCUAAGUAGAACUUGGAUGCUGGAGGCUCUGCUGGGCAGGUGGGGAUUGUGGGCAUUGAGGGCUUGGCCUGGGAGUCAGCUGUUGGUCAUUUCCCUGUGGUCUUCUGCAAUCAGUAUAUCACUCGUUCUCUCUGUUGUCAUGUAUUUUCCAGACUGUUGCUUUGGGAGCAAAGGAUCGUGCUUCAAAAGUCUGAGGACAAGUUUGUCCUCUGCGAGCUUGGCUAGAAUAAUUCCCCGGUGGCCACACAACAGGGUGCACCUUGCCACUGAGCCAGAUGAAGCAACGCACGCCGACGAUGUUGUGGAGGCCGGUGGGAGUGAGAAGACCGAGGCAAAGCCCCGGGCUGGGGGACAUGAGGACGAGGCGGCCCCAGUACCUGAGGUGGAGGAGGAGGAGGAGGCGGGCCAGCCCCUUGAAAAUGGCCAGGAGGAGUCCCCAGCCAUCGCCUGGGCUGAGCCGGAAGACGAGCCUGGCCCCAAGGUGGACGGGGCGGACGAUGAAAUCUCUUGGAGCUUGGAGAGUGUGUGUGAGAGCGACCUCGCUGACAGCAACCUCGCAGAAAGUGAUCGAGACUCGGUGGCGGAGCGCACCGACUGCCGCCAGGAUGAGGAGGCUGCAGGAACUCACGACGACGAUGUUGUGGAGGCCGGUGGGAGUGAGAAGACUGAGGCAAAGCCCCGGGCUGGGGGACAUGAGGACGAGGCGGCCCCAGUACCUGAGGUGGAGGUGGAGGAGGAGGCGGGCCAGCCCCGUGAAAAUGGCCAGGAGGAGUCCUUAGCCAUCGCCUGGGCUGAGCCGGAAGACGAGCCUGGCCCCAAGGUGGACGGGGCGGACGAUGAAAUCUCUUGGAGCUUGGAGAGUGUGUGUGAGAGCGACCUCGCUGACAGCAACCUCGCAGAAAGUGAUCGAGGUAAGAACAGCUCUCAGGUAGGAGCCAGUGGGAGAGGGUUCCCGGGACACUUGGAACUUAGGCCUGCUGCUUGGAGGGUGGGGCGGGUGAGUGUGCAAUUGCAAAAGAGAAAGAAAUUGGUGUAAAGAUGUUCGUCGCCUAUGUUCCUAAGGAGGGGAGCAGGUAUGAGAUGCCCGAAUGUUGGCAUCUGUGCUCACGUUGUGUUGGCGGGCCUCAGUCCCUGGAGCAGAGGGAAGGCCUGGGCACCUGGAGGAAAAACCCGGGUGAUGCUGUGUGACCCGCCGUCACCUCGGGGAAGCCGGGGAAACGGGAGGGCCACUCCUUCUCACGCCUCGCUUCCCGCGGUGUGUUUCUACAGACUCGGUGGCGGAGCGCACCGACUGCCGCCAGGAUGAGGAGGCUGCAGUAGGGAAGAGCACGCAGCUGGGAUCCAGGGGAGAGGGUUCCUGGGAGCAGCUGGGUUCCACCUGCUGCCGGGAGAGGGCGGAAGGGGGCUAGGACUUGGGUGGGUGGCCUACUGAGCGGAACUCCGCUGUGGUGUUUUCCCCUCUGAAGUUGCUAAGCCGAAGACGACUUGGGUCCCUGGUCUUUGUUGUGCUGUGUUUGGAUUCGUGUCUCCUUCCUUUGAGAGGGAGAAUGGCUUUUCCCUCCCGAAGCGGCUCCUUCCCAGCUCUUGUCUCUGGCCAUGGUGCCAGCUUGCUUUGUGGGUCGCACCCUGAGGGUCCUGUGCACAAGAGCUGUUGACUUAGUUUCCUUUGUUGCCCUUGAGGGCCUGGUGUGGUGGGACGCAACCCUCUCCUAGGCCCUUGACCCUGGAGACCAAGUUUGCCUGGUGAGUGUCAGGUGGCGGGUGAGAAGGCAGGUCUCUCCCUCUGCACGUUUGGGAUUUCUGGCCUCCCUGUCCUGGU
rnacentral:lncRNA from 9 species